rnacentral:rRNA from 1 species
UACGGGGGGGGGCAAGCGUUGUUCGGAAUUACUGGGCGUAAAGGGCCAGUAGGCGGCCAACUAAGUCGGAUGUGAAAUCCCCAGGCUUAACCUGGGAACUGCAUCCGAUACUGGAUGGCUUGAAUUCGGGAGAGGGAUGCAGAAUUCCAGGUGUAGCGGUGAAAUGCGUAGAUAUCUGGAGGAACACCGGUGGCGAAGGCGGCAUCCUGGACCAACACUGACGCUGAGUGAGCGAAAGCCAGGGGAGCAAACGGGG